rnacentral:rRNA from 1 species
GUGAGUAACACGUGGAUAACCUACCUAUAAGACUGGGAUAACUUCGGGAAACCGGAGCUAAUACCGGAUAACAUAUUGAACCGCAUGGUUCAAUAGUGAAAGGCGGCUUUGCUGUCACUUAUAGAUGGAUCCGCGCNNNAUUAGCUAGUUGGUAAGGUAACGGCUUACCAAGGCAACGAUACGUAGCCGACCUGAGAGGGUGAUCGGCCACACUGGAACUGAGACACGGUCCAGACUCCUACGGGAGGCAGCAGUAGGGAAUCUUCCGCAAUGGGCGAAAGCCUGACGGAGCAACGCCGCGUGAGUGAUGAAGGUCUUCGGAUCUUAAAACUCUGUUANCAGGGAA